CUUUCGACAAAAAGGCUGUGGCCAAAUUGAAACAAUGUUUCCUAGACCAGUCUGAGGAGACUCUGGCCAAUGUUAAAGUGAUGGUGGAUGCUAUAUUCAACAGUAAAGACUGUCCACAGUCUGCCUAAAAGUUCCAUAAGACCUUUGGCUCACAGGACUGAAAAGAAUGAUCACGAGUCAGCAGCUGAUACCACAAAUCAUAACUUUUCUUUCUUGAUUUUAUCUUUCUGUCUAUAAAGUGCAAGACUAUUGUUGGAAUCUCAAAGGCAUUUCUUUCUACUCAUUAAAUUAACUGCAAAUACUGA